rnacentral:misc_RNA from 1 species
AAUCCAAUCAAGCCUGGCUUGGUAUUGGGCGCCGGGACUCCUCCGCGCCUCAAUUUCACCGGCUGGCCGCCGCCCGUCUUAGCGUUGUGACAUACUUUUCGCUGGCGAUGGGGAGCGGUUUCACGCCGUUAGAAUUCAAUGAAUUUCAAUCGAAAUUCGAUUA